rnacentral:rRNA from 1 species
UACGGAGGGGGCUAGCGUUAUUCGGAAUUACUGGGCGUAAAGCGCACGUAGGCGGCUUUGUAAGUCAGAGGUGAAAGCCUGGAGCUCAACUCCAGAACUGCCUUUGAUACUGGAGACCUUGAGUCCGGGAGAGGUGAGUGGAAUUGCGAGUGUAGAGGUGAAAUUCGUAGAUAUUCGCAAGAACACCAGUGGCGAAGGCGGCUCACUGGCCCGGAACUGACGCUGAGACGCGAAAGCGUGGGGAGCAAACAGG